ACGCUCGACACCUACGGGAGGCAGCAGUGAGGAAUAUUGGUCAAUGGACGCAAGUCUGAACCAGCCAUGCCGCGUGCAGGAUGACGGCUCUAUGAGUUGUAAACUGCUUUUGUACGAGGGUAAACGCAGAUACGUGUAUCUGUCUGAAAGUAUCGUACGAAUAAGGAUCGGCUAACUCCGUGCCAACAGCCGCGGUAAUCUGAGCGGGCUGGCAAGGC
rnacentral:rRNA from 1 species